UUCAUCUCUUAUUCAUUAACAGCGUCGGAGAAAUUAUUUUGAUGGACUUGUAAGUUACCUCAUAGUUAUUGUGCUUAUUGCUGAACUUCUCUUGGAACAGGAAUAGCAUUUGGAGUCACAGGACUUGUGGCAAGACCAGCAGCUAGUAUUCUUGAGGUUACUGGGAAAACUGCUCAAAGUAUUAGAAAUAGAAGUAGGCUUCAUCGCACAAGAUCACAGCGGUAUAGGGUCCGUCUUCCCAGGCCUCUGAGUAGAGAACUUCCCCUCGCGCCUUACUCUUGGGAAGAAGCCAUUGGAACAACAGUACUUAUGGAGGUUGAUGAUGGCUUGAAGUACAAGGAUGAAAUGCCAGAAAUGUGCAAAGCACUUAAGCAAGCUGGUAAAUUUGCAGUCAUCACAGAGAGACUCUUAUUAAUAGUUAGCUGUUCUAGUUUGGUGGACCUCGGGAAGCCUGAGUUUCAAGGUGUGGCUGCCGAUCCAGAUUGGGUGGUUGAAUCAGAAAUCAGUUUGGACAGCAUAAUCCAUGCUGAUACUGAUGAACAAAAAAAUAUAUAUAUAUAUAUAUUGAUUUAAGCAUAUAUAUAUAUAUGCAUAGCUCUAAAGCAUAUAUAUAUAUAUAUAAGCAUAUAUAUUGAUUUAAGCAUAUAUAUAUAUAUGCAUAGCUCUAAAGCAUAUAUAUAUAUAUAUAAGCAUAUAUAUUGAUUUAAGCAUAUAUAUAUAUAUGCAUAGCUCUAAAGCAUAUAUAUAUAUAUAUAAGCAUAUAUAUUGAUUUAAGCAUAUAUAUAUAUAUGCAUAGCUCUAAAGCAUAUAUAUAUAUAUAUAAGCAUAUAUAUUGAUUUAAGCAUAUAUAUAUAUAUGCAUAGCUCUAAAGCAUAUAUAUAUAUAUAUAAGCAUAUAUAUUGAUUUAAGCAUAUAUAUAUAUAUGCAUAGCUCUAAAGCAUAUAUAUAUAUAUAUAAGCAUAUAUAUUGAUUUAAGCAUAUAUAUAUAUAUAUCUUCAGGUUAAUAUAUAUUUAAGCAUAGCUCUAAAGCAUCUAAUGAUUUUGAUUAUAGGGACUAACUGGUCUCCUUCAAUCACCCAUUAAAGAAGCUGAGAAACAUGGUCUUCCUGGUCUCCUCUCAGGUAAUGCUGCUGUAAAAAGCAUUAUCAUUAUGUACCUUCAUCUCUUAUUCAUUAACAGCGUCGGAGAAAUUAUUUUGAUGGACUUGUAAGUUACCUCAUAGUUAUUGUGCUUAUUGCUGAACUUCUCUUGGAACAGGAAUAGCAUUUGGAGUCACAGGACUUGUGGCAAGACCAGCAGCUAGUAUUCUUGAGGUUACUGGGAAAACUGCUCAAAGUAUUAGAAAUAGAAGUAGGCUUCAUCGCACAAGAUCACAGCGGUAUAGGGUCCGUCUUCCCAGGCCUCUGAGUAGAGAACUUCCCCUCGCGCCUUACUCUUGGGAAGAAGCCAUUGGAACAACAGUACUUAUGGAGGUUGAUGAUGGCUUGAAGUACAAGGAUGAAAUGCCAGAAAUGUGCAAAGCACUUAAGCAAGCUGGUAAAUUUGCAGUCAUCACAGAGAGACUCUUAUUAAUAGUUAGCUGUUCUAGUUUGGUGGACCUCGGGAAGCCUGAGUUUCAAGGUGUGGCUGCCGAUCCAGAUUGGGUGGUUGAAUCAGAAAUCAGUUUGGACAGCAUAAUCCAUGCUGAUACUGAUGAAGGGACCGUACACAUAGUUGGAAGUAGUUCUGAUGGUUUAUCGAGACAGAAC
rnacentral:lncRNA from 1 species